AUGUGAAUACAUAGCGUAAUGAGGCGAACCGGGGGAACUGAAACAUCUCAGUACCCCGAGGAAAAGAAAUCAACCGAGAUUCCCCUAGUAGCGGCGAGCGAACGGGGAGGAGCCCAGAACCUGAAUCAGUUUGUGUGUUAGUGGAAGCGUCUGGAAAGUCGCACAGUAAAGGGUGAUAGUCCCGUACACAAAAAUGCACAAGUUGUGAGUUCGAUGAGUAGGGCGGGACACGUGACAUCCUGUCUGAAUAUGGGGGGACCAUCCUCCAAGGCUAAAUACUCCUGACUGACCGAUAGUGAACCAGUACCGUGAGGGAAAGGCGAAAAGAACCCCGGCGAGGGGAGUGAAAUAGAACCUGAAACCGUGUACGUACAAGCAGUGGGAGCCUACUUGUUAGGUGACUGCGUACCUUUUGUAUAAUGGGUCAGCGACUUAUAUUCUGUAGCAAGGUUAACCGAAUAGGGGAGCCGCAGGGAAACCGAGUCUUAACUGGGCGUUAAGUUGCAGGGUAUAGACCCGAAACCCGGUGAUCUAGCCAUGGGCAGGUUGAAGGUUGGGUAACACUAACUGGAGGACCGAACCGACUAAUGUUGAAAAAUUAGCGGAUGACUUGUGGCUGGGGGUGAAAGGCCAAUCAAACCGGGAGAUAGCUGGUUCUCCCCGAAAGCUAUUUAGGUAGCGCCUCGUGAAUUCAUCUUCGGGGGUAGAGCACUGUUUCGGCUAGGGGGUCAUCCCGACUUACCAACCCGAUGCAAACUACGAAUACCGAAGAAUGUUAUCACGGGAGACACACGGCGGGUGCUAACGUUCGUCGUGAAGAGGGAAACAACCCAGACCGCCAGCUAAGGUCCCAAAGUCAUGGUUAAGUGGGAAACGAUGUGGGAAGGCACAGACAGCCAGGAUGUUGGCUUAGAAGCAGCCAUCAUUUAAAGAAAGCGUAAUAGCUCACUGGUCGAGUCGGCCUGCGCGGAAGAUGUAACGGGGCUAAACCAUGCACCGAAGCUGCGGCAGCGACACUUAGGUGUUGUUGGGUAGGGGAGCGUUCUGUAAGCCGUUGAAGGUGGCCUGUGAGGGUUGCUGGAGGUAUCAGAAGUGCGAAUGCUGACAUAAGUAACGAUAAUGCGGGUGAAAAACCCGCACGCCGGAAGACCAAGGGUUCCUGUCCAACGUUAAUCGGGGCAGGGUGAGUCGACCCCUAAGGCGAGGCUGAAAAGCGUAGUCGAUGGGAAACAGGUUAAUAUUCCUGUACUCGGUGUUACUGCGAAGGGGGGACGGAGAAAGCUAGGUUAUCCGGGCGACGGUUGUCCCGGUUUAAGCGUGAAGGUGGGUGACUUAGGUAAAUCCGGGUCAUCGUUAACACUGAGGCGUGAUGACGAGUCACUACGGUGAUGAAGUAACCAAUGCUACGCUUCCAGGAAAAGCCUCUAAGCUCCAGGUAACAUCAAAUCGUACCCCAAACCGACACAGGUGGUCAGGUAGAGAAUACUCAGGCGCUUGAGAGAACUCGGGUGAAGGAACUAGGCAAAAUGGUGCCGUAACUUCGGGAGAAGGCACGCUGGCGCGUAGGUGAAGUCCCUUGCGGAUGGAGCUGAAGCCAGUCGCAGAUACCAGCUGGCUGCAACUGUUUAAUAAAAACACAGCACUGUGCAAACACGAAAGUGGACGUAUACGGUGUGACGCCUGCCCGGUGCCGGAAGGUUAAUUGAUGGGGUCAGCCGCAAGGCGAAGCUCUUGAUCGAAGCCCCGGUAAACGGCGGCCGUAACUAUAACGGUCCUAAGGUAGCGAAAUUCCUUGUCGGGUAAGUUCCGACCUGCACGAAUGGCGUAAUGAUGGCCAGGCUGUCUCCACCCGAGACUCAGUGAAAUUGAACUCGCUGUGAAGAUGCAGUGUACCCGCGGCAAGACGGAAAGACCCCGUGAACCUUUACUAUAGCUUGACACUGAACCUUGAGCCUUGAUGUGUAGGAUAGGUGGGAGGCUUUGAAGUGUGGACGCCAGUCUGCAUGGAGCCAACCUUGAAAUACCACCCUUUAAUGUUUGAUGUUCUAACGUAGGCCCGUAAUCCGGGUUGCGGACAGUGUCUGGUGGGUAGUUUGACUGGGGCGGUCUCCUCCCAAAGCGUAACGGAGGAGCACGAA
rnacentral:rRNA from 1 species